rnacentral:rRNA from 1 species
GACGAACGCUGGCGGCGUGCUUAACACAUGCAAGUCGAGCGGAAAGGCCCUUCGGGGUACUCGAGCGGCGAGCGGGUGAGUAACACGUGAGUAACCUGCCCCAGACUUUGGGAUAACCCUCGGAAACGGGGGCUAAUACCGGAUACGACACAGCUUCGCAUGGGGUCUGUGUGGAAAGUUUUUCGGUUUGGGAUGGGCUCGCGGCCUAUCAGCUUGUUGGUGGGGUGAUGGCCUACCAAGGCGACGACGGGUAGCCGGCCUGAGAGGGCGACCGGCCACACUGGGACUGAGACACGGCCCAGACUCCUACGGGAGGCAGCAGUGGGGAAUAUUGCACAAUGGGCGGAAGCCUGAUGCAGCGACGCCGCGUGAGGGAUGGCGGCCUUCGGGUUGUAAACCUCUUUCAGCAGGGACGAAGCGUAAGUGACGGUACCUGCAGAAGAAGCGCCGGCCAACUACGUG